AUGCACCCCACCCUGCAGGGGAUGAUCUCAACUAGGUUCAUUAACUAAAGCCUUGACAGACCCUUCUGAUGUAAUGGUCCCUGUGAAACCCGGAGUCCCAUCUCUGGAGACUGUGAGGGAAGAGGGUUUAAGCAAUGACAAUUAGUUGGGAAUUUUCUCCUUCGUGUCAUCUCUGAGAACCAUCUGACCUCACAAUUGCAUCCUGCUGAGUCUCUUCGGCCUCUGGGCUUCUCAGCCUGGGUCUUUGCUCGGGAGAGCCUUCGCAGAACUGAAGCUGUUUCUCCAGGAGAUUCCCGUUGGAGCAAACAGUGUAAAUGGACCAAACAGUGUCAAUGGACCACAGUAGGAAAAACUAUACUGUGGUAAAUCGAUGAGUACAAGAAAAGUGAAGAAGUGAAGAGAACAAAUAUAAGUAGCUCUUUCAAGAAACUGGGCUUUGAAAUGAAGGAGAGAAAGGAGAAAAGCUGGAAAGAGACAUAGGCUCAAGGAAAGUUUCUUUGGUUUUACUGAUAGUUCUAAGGAGAAAGGGAGAAGAUCUGGAGAAAUGGAAAGAAGGACUUGCUCCAAGAAACACGCAGGAAUGGAAUUCAGUGUAUAGGUGGAGAGAUUAACUUUACAUUUUAAGAGCAAUACUUCUCCCAUUGCACCUGGAGGGAAGCAGAGAGGAUGGCUCUGGCUACAGCUACGUUUCCAAGUUUCGUCAC